UACGGAGGGGGCAAGCGUUGUUCGGAAUUACUGGGCGUAAAGGGCGCGCAGGCGGCUGCUCAAGUCAGGCGUGAAAGGCCUGGGCUCAACCCGGGAAUUGCGCUUGAGACUGGGCUGGCUUGAAUGCGGGAGAGGAUGGUGGAAUUCCCAGUGUAGAGGUGAAAUUCGUAGAUAUUGGGAAGAACACCGGUGGCGAAGGCGGCCAUCUGGACCGCAACUGACGCUGAGGCGCGAAAGCGUGGGGAGCAAACAGG
rnacentral:rRNA from 1 species